rnacentral:rRNA from 1 species
UACAGGGGGGGCGAGCGUUGUUCGGAAUUACUGGGCGUAAAGGGUUUGUAGGUGGCUUGCUCAGUCAGACGUGAAAUCCCUCAGCUUAACUGGGGAACUGCGUCUGAUACUGGUCGGCUUGAGUGCAGGAGAGGAACGCGGAAUUCCAGGUGUAGCGGUGAAAUGCGUAGAUAUCUGGAGGAACACCGGUGGCGAAGGCGGCGUUCUGGACUGCAACUGACACUGAGGAACGAAAGCCAGGGGAGCAAACGGG